rnacentral:rRNA from 1 species
UGGGAACUAGGUGUUGGCGACAUUCCACGUCGUCGGUGCCGCAGCUAACGCAUUAAGUUCCCCGCCUGGGGAGUACGCGCGGCCUAUCAGCUUGUUGGUGAGGUAAUGGCUCACCAAGGCGACGACGGGUAGCCGGCCUGAGAGGGCGACCGGCCACACUGGGACUGAGACACGGCCCAGACUCCUACGGGAGGCAGCAGUGGGGAAUAUUGCACAAUGGGCGAAAGCCUGAUGCAGCGACGCCGCGUGAGGGAUGACGGCCUUCGGGUUGUAAACCUCUUUCAGCAGGGAAGAAGCGAAAGUGACGGUACCUGCAGAAGAAGCGCCGGCUAACUACGUGCUAGCAGCCGCGGUAAUACGUAGGGCGCAAGCGUUGUCCGGAAUUAUUGGGCGUAAAGAGCUCGUAGGCGGCUUGUCACGUCGGGUGUGAAAGCCCGGGGCUUAACCCCGGGUCUGCAUUCGAUACGGGCUAGCUAGAGUGUGGUAGGGGAGAUCGGAAUUCCUGGUGUAGCGGUGAAAUGCGCAGAUAUCAGGAGGAACACCGGUGGCGAAGGCGGAUCUCUGGGCCAUUACUGACGCUGAGGAGCGAAAGCGUGGGGAGCGAACAGGAUUAGAUACCCUGGUAGUCCACGCCGUAAACGGUGGGAACUAGGUGUUGGCGACAUUCCACGUCGUCGGUGCCGCAGCUAACGCAUUAAGUUCCCCGCCUGG